rnacentral:rRNA from 1 species
CAAGGAAUCUUCCGCAAUGGGCGAAAGCCUGACGGAGCAACGCCGCGUGUGGGAUGACGCCUUUCGGGGUGUAAACCACUUUUCUCAGGGAAGAAGCACUGACGGUACCUGAGGAAGAAGGACCGGCUAACUACGUGCCAGCAGCCGCGGUAAUACGUAGGGUCCGAGCGUUGUCCGGAGUUACUGGGCGUAAAGCGCGCGCAGGCGGCGGUGUAAGCAUGGCGUGAAAGCCCCAGGCUCAACCUGGGAGGGUCGUCGUGGACUGCACCGCUUGAGGGCGGUAGGGGCUGGUGGAAUGCCUGGUGUAGUGGUGAAAUGCGUAGAGAUCAGGCGGAACACCCGUGGCGAAGGCGGCCAGCUGGGCCGUCCCUGACGCUGAGGCGCGAAGGCGUGGGGAGCG